rnacentral:rRNA from 1 species
CCCAUCGACCCCGCGGCUUGGUACCUCGAUGUCGGCUCUUCCCAUCCUGGCCCUGCAUAAGGGGCCAAGGGUGAGGCUGCUCGCCUAUUAAAGGGGAACGUGAGCUGGGUUUAGACCGUCGCGAGACAGGUCGGACUUUAUCUGCUGGGAGUGUUGGCCGCCUGAGGGGAAAGGGUCCCCAGUACGAGAGGAACGGGACGCUGCGGCCACUAGUUAACCGGUUGUCCGACAGGGCAGACGCCGGGCAGCCACGCCGUAGAGGAUAAGGGCUGAAAGCAUCUAAGCCCGAAGCCUCUCCCGAAAAUAGGCGGCC